CACGUAGGAUCCGAGCGUUAUCCGAAUUUACUGGGCGUAAAGCGCAAGCAGGCGGCCGGUUAAGUUGGACGUGAAAGCUCCUGGCUCAACUGGGAGAGGUCGUUCAAGACUGGCUGGCUAGAGGGCGGCAGAGGGAGGUGGAAUUCCCGGUGUAGUGGUGAAAUGCGUAGAGAUCGGGAGGAACACCAGAGGCGAAAGCGGCCUCCUGGGCCGCGCCUGACGCUGAGUUGCGAAAGCUAGGGGAGCGAACGGG
rnacentral:rRNA from 1 species